UACGUAGGGGGCUAGCGUUGUCCGGAAUCAUUGGGCGUAAAGCGCGUGUAGGCGGCCCGGUAAGUCCGCUGUGAAAGUCGGGGGCUCAACCCUCGAAUGCCGGUGGAUACUGUCGGGCUCGAGUGCGGAAGAGGCGAGUGGAAUUCCUGGUGUAGCGGUGAAAUGCGCAGAUAUCAGGAGGAACACCGAUUGCGAAGGCAGCUCGCUGGGACGUUACUGACGCUGAGACGCGAAAGCGUGGGGAGAAAACAGG
rnacentral:rRNA from 1 species